AAUUCGAUUGAGUUUGAUCAUGGCUCAGGACGAACGCUGGCGGCGUGCCUAACACAUGCAAGUGGAGCGACGAACCGGGCUUCGGCCCGGGGCAAAGCCGCGAACGGGUGAGUAACACGUGGGUAACCUGCCCCGAUGAUUGGGACAACCCGAGGAAACUCGGGCUAAUACCGAAUGUGCCCUACGGCCUCAAGGUCCAAGGGGAAAGGAAGCUUCGGCCUCCGCAUCGGGAUGGGCCCGCGGCCCAUAGCUUGUUGGUGAGGUAACGGCUCACCAAGGCAACGAUGGGUAGCUGGUCUGAGAGGACGAUCAGCCACACUGGGACUGAGACACGGCCCAGACUCCUACGGGAGGCAGCAGUGGGGAAUCUUGCGCAAUGCGCGAAAGCGCGACGCAGCAACGCCGCGUGGGGGAAGACGGCCUUCGGGUUGUAAACCCCUUUCAGUUGGGACGAAGCUUCGCCGGUGAAUAGCCGGCUGGAGUGACGGUACCUUCAGAAGAAGCCCCGGCUAACUACGUGCCAGCAGCCGCGGUAAUACGUAGGGGGCAAGCGUUGUCCGGAAUCAUUGGGCGUAAAGAGCGUGUAGGCGGCUCGGUAAGUCCGCUGUGAAAGUCCAGGGCUCAACCCUGGAAUGCCGGUGGAAACUGUCGAGCUAGAGUCCGGAAGAGGCGAGUGNAAUUCCUGGUGUAGCGGUGAAAUGCGCAGAUAUCAGGAGGAACACC
rnacentral:rRNA from 1 species